CGAACAACGACGCUUGGUACGCACUUGAUCGAAAUGAAUCCACAUGUAUGAGGACAAACCCAAUAGGACUUCACGACCCUGACAAGACCGUGUGGUGGAAAGUGGAUCUUGGUGGAAUGUACAGCAUAUAUAGCAUACACAUAAUGUUUAAAAAUUACCCCGGAUACGAAAAAAGACAACGUGGUCGUUUUGCCGGAUUUUCAUUAAACGUGUCUAACACUGAUUUAUCAAAAACCGAGGUUGAUGAAAACUCCACCCUGUGUUACAAAGACGGCCCUCUGUUACCGUUCCUUGAUUUUACAACAACAACAUGUGCAAUGAUCGGACGUUACGUCACCUUUUACAACGAGCAGUUUGAUAAACAAACCUUCUCUGCAGAGUACGAAGUUUACAAUGUUUAUACAGAGCUGUGUGAAGUUUUUAUUUUUGCAUGCAGAAAAAGAUGGUACGGCGUCAACUGCAGUCAACAGUGUUCAGGACAUUGCAGAAACAACACUCCAUGUUAUCACGUGACUGGUCAGUGUGAUAGAGGAUGUGAUGCUGGAUGGACAGGAGCUUUCUGUGACCAAGCAUGUAGAGAAAGAUGGCACGGUGUCAACUGUAGUCAACAGUGUUCAGGACAUUGUAGAAACAACACUACAUGUAAUCACGUGACUGGUCAGUGUGACACCGGGUGUGAUACAGGAUGGACUGGAUACAUGUGUGAUAAAGAGUGUAAUGACGGUACCUAUGGAUACAGCUGUACCAACAUUUGUAGCGGUCACUGUCUAAAUGACUCUCCAUGUAACAAACGGUCUGGACAUUGUGACGGAGGAUGUAACCCAGGAUACACAAAUAUCGACUGUAAUAAAGACAGAGCUACUCUUUCUACUCUCGAUACAAACGACACUUCAUCAGCAUCCGUUUCAUGGAUGGUUGGCUUCUUAAUAUCACUCGUUAUCAACGUUAUUGUCAUUAGUGCCAUUUUAUUGAUACUAUGGACAAGGACUAUGAAAUUAGGAACAACUACCUAUUGUAUUUGUUGCCGGAACUAUGCAGGUACUAAUCACAAAAUCGAUGACGAGUCAAACUACCAAGAACUCAGUGAAUCUAAAGGAGACAACACAUAUCAAACUUUGACACUACAGUAG
rnacentral:sRNA from 1 species